ensembl:lncRNA
CAGGGAUUAUAAAAACCCAUUUGAACUGGGAUGGGACUCUUUUUAGCCUCAAGCACAUGACCAUGAGCACUACAAAAGAAGAACAAAGAGUUGCUAUAGUGGCCGUGAUGCAACUAGAAUACAUCCAAGGGAUUAAACAUGGCUUCAAAGAUCUAGAAGACUUACUCCCAGCAGAUGAGGAAUUUAGCGGUUACAGAACAUAGCAUGGAACUCUCACAGAGAAGACACAACUGGCAGUGCAAUGGACAGAGUCAGCAUCUGUGACAGAGUACUGAGGCUCCAGCGGCCACAACACUAUCAUCAUGUAUGAGACAGCUACUGAGGCAGAGCACGUCAGUCUGGCUACUUCAGAUGGUCCAUGCCCAUGUGCUUUUCAGAGCCCAUAAUUUUUAGAAGUGCAGGAAGAAAAGAACUCAUCCUUCACUUUUCCUGGGUUUGUGCAAAAGGCUGAGUGAGCACAGUUGCUGCAGGAGUUGCAAUGUGUGCAAUAGUUAUUCUCCUCCACCACCUUUCUUACAUCAAGAAAGAACAUCAAAUAUUUGUGCUAGAAGCUUGCUGCAUAAAGACUACAACAACCAUCAUUUUUAUGGCCCCCUUCAAAGCUGUGGGCACCUGGACUGAGCAAUCUUGAACAAUGUCCAAAGACAUGGGUUGCAACUUACGUCAUUUCAGUGCACAUGACUCAUAUUUUACUAAGAGACAGAACCUGUCACAACCAGACUUUUCUGACAUUCUUUGCACAGAAAAACUUUGGGAGGAGAGGUAGUGUUAAAAAUUCAACCAAAUGAAAAAAACAAAAACAAACAAACAAACAAACAAACAAACAAAAACAUUGAAAUAGGCAAUAAGGGAAUUAUAGACAGAGAGAGAGAGCCAAGAAUUUAUUAACCAUCAACAGUUCUCCUUCCAAAGUCCCUCUUUAUCCUGUGUAUGAUAGUAUCAGUCUUCCUCAAGAACUGAAUAGGAAAAGGAAGUUGUGGCAAGAUGUCAUCCCUAGUUUUUUGGAGGAACUGUGAUAUUUAUGCUGGACUUUCCUUCUUGGUCUUGGGCUUUUUUUAUGUACAUUCUUACCCCAGUCUGCUGUCCUCCCCUGCUCCCAGGGCAGAGGUGAAAUUUGCUCCACAGGCCUCUGUCCAAUACCUUCGAGGCUGUGAUCCCUGAAAGAACUGCGUUGGGCUUUCAGCCCCUUCCCAACAUGUCAUUCUCAAAGCUCAGACAGUCUAGGCAGUGGGUACUUGGCUGUCUGCAAAAUCCAGCUCAUUCUUACUCAGGCUGAGGGUAGUGAAGCCACAUUUUCAGAACUGAAUGAGAAGCAUCAGCACAAGUCAGGAAAGUGAGUUUUAAAUUAACCUCCUACUCGUUUUUCCUGAAAGCUCUAAAGUGUUUUGGGGUUUGGUGAAUAACUGUUCUGCAUUCACCUUACUUAUGACCUUCAUGACUCUAU